rnacentral:rRNA from 1 species
AUUGAACGCUGGCGGCAGGCCUAACACAUGCAAGUCGAGCGGGGUUUUCGGACCUAGCGGCGGACGGGUGAGUAAUGCGUAGGAAGCUACCCGAUAGAGGGGGAUACCAGUUGGAAACGACUGUUAAUACCGCAUAAUGUCUACGGACCAAAGUGUGGGACCUUCGGGCCACAUGCUAUCGGAUGCGCCUACGUGGGAUUAGCUAGUUGGUGAGGUAAUGGCUCACCAAGGCGACGAUCCCUAGCUGGUUUGAGAGGAUGAUCAGCCACACUGGAACUGAGACACGGUCCAGACUCCUACGGGAGGCAGCAGUGGGGAAUAUUGGACAAUGGGCGCAAGCCUGAUCCAGCCAUGCCGCGUGUGUGAAGAAGGCCCUCGGGUUGUAAAGCACCUUCAGUAGGGAGGAAGCGUUGUGUGUUAAUAGUACACAGCGUUGACGUUACCUACAGAAGAAGCACCGGCUAACUCUGUGCCAGCCGCCGCGGUAAGAC